GACGAACGCUGGCGGCGCGCUUAACACAUGCAAGUCGAACGGAAAGGCCCUGCUUUUGUGGGGUGCUCGAGUGGCGAACGGGUGAGUAACACGUGAGUAACCUGCCCUUGACUUUGGGAUAACUUCAGGAAACUGGGGCUAAUACCGGAUAGGAGCUCCUGCUGCAUGGUGGGGGUUGGAAAGUUUCGGCGGUUGGGGACGGACUCGCGGCUUAUCAGCUUGUUGGUGGGGUAGUGGCUUACCAAGGCUUUGACGGGUAGCCGGCCUGAGAGGGUGACCGGCCACAUUGGGACUGAGAUACGGCCCAGACUCCUACGGGAGGCAGCAGUGGGGAAUAUUGCACAAUGGGCGGAAGCCUGAUGCAGCAACGCCGCGUGCGGGAUGACGGCCUUCGGGUUGUAAACCGCUUUCGCCUGUGACGAAGCGUGAGUGACGGUAAUGGGUAAAGAAGCACCGGCUAACUACGUG
rnacentral:rRNA from 1 species